CCGGCUCCCGGCAGAGAGUGGCCGCAGACUCGCGCGGCGCGGCGGCCUGAAAGGCAAGCCAGCCCCCGCCGCUGCCUCCAGCCAGCCCCGGUCCUCCGGGGGUCACCUGCACAGGCUCCGCCUGGCACGGCGCGUGGCACCCGCGGGCCGCAAGGAUGCUGGAGAGAGGACGAGCCGUGAGUGCGGGGAAGGGGUCCCGGAGCCUGGCCCCGCGGAAAAAAAGGCGAAAAGUGGGAAGUUGCAUUCAGCGUGUGUUUUGCACGAAUGGUUGUAGAGGCAGCAAGAUGGGCCCGGCCAACUUCUUUCCUGGAACCACUCAGCAUCUCAGCAUCUCCACAUCUCAGCACCUCCGAAUCUCAGCAUCCAGCUUGAGCUGUGAACCACAUCUGUGGUGCAUCUGUGCUUUAUCUGGUUUAUUUCAUGGACCUAAGGGCCGCAUCUGCAACAACACCGAUCCUUUAACCCACUGUGUGGGGCUGGGGAACAACCUGUGUCCUGGUGCUGCUGAGAAGCCACCAAUCCCGUUGGGCUACAGCAGAACGCCUGGAGAGGAUAUUCUAAUAUAUUGAAUCAUUGAGAAAUGAUAAAAGGAGAAGUCCAUACACAUUCAUGAUUUUCCUUUUUUUAAAAAAUUUUUUGAGAAUGAUACCAUCCCCUGAGGAGCCCUCUUGAAGGAAGAGAACAGAAACGUCAGCAUCCUGGGUUGUUCUCAUGCCCACAGACACUUUCCGUGGGGGAGCAGUGACCCUAAGCGUGGCCCAGGGUCCUCAAGACCCUCUCCAAAAGGGUUCCUAGGGUCAAAACUAUUUUCAUAAUACCAGAGAUUUGUUCCUUUUUCAGUCUCCUGCUCUCCUGAUUGUACAGGGGAAUUUUCUAGAAGCUGAUAGUGCAGACUGAUUGAGCAGACUGACUACAGACUGAUGGUGCAGACUGACGGUGGAGACUAACUGCAAACUGAGUGCAGACUGAUGGUGCAGACUGAUUGCAGAAGCAGCUAUGAACAUUCACCUGUAUUGUUAGCCAGACAUUACAGCAAUUUGCAGAAAUGGAAGCAAUGUUACUCUCCUGCCUAGGUUUUUUGGUUUUGUUUUGGAAACCAUAGUUACAUUUUCACAAAAAUGUGUGACUGGCAUGACCAGGUGACAAAACUAAUUACACUCAACACAUGUUCAUUCCGGGACCUGCUCUAGGUGCUAGGAAACAUCAGAGAGGAUGUCACACAUACAGAUCCAUGGGGCUCAAACUGUGUGAGGUGACGUGGACCCCACGGAAACUCACUGAGAGGCUGCAGGAAGGUUUAACUUUUCAAGGGAAGCACAGUGAUGCUUGGCCCCUGUGGGAUAACAUGGUUUGACGGUCUCUCCAUUAGACUGUGCAGCACUUACUGAAGAUGUCAUCUCUCUAUGAAAUUGCAUUUCUGGAAGUUGUUGGGAUUAAAACGACUCCAGUUUUGUUCAGGAAAUCGAGACGUCUCAUGCUUCCAGAGCUCUUCUCCAACCCCAAAGAUUGGCCAAUCCAGAGGUUCUUAACUUGAGUGGCCCAGCGCAGUGCCUCAGGGGACUUUUAAACAUCAGGAUGCGGAGAACAUGUUGGACCAGGGAAAUCAGUCACUGGGGAUGAGACUCAGCCAGCAUCAGUAUUUUGUAAAGCUCCCCAGGCUUAUGACAUGCCUGAAGCUUUACUAGCUUCUCUGCUUCCCAGCAGCUACCCACCGACCAGCUCCUCACACUCUUGCUAUGAGCCAUGAAUCAAAACAUAUUUUGAGGAGAAAAGCAACCCAGAAAGUCCCUGGAAUUCAACGCUUAAAAAUACUUGGUUUCUUUGAUUGGAAAACGGUAUUUGGAAAACGAAAUCAGACUAUGAGGUGAGUUACACUUUAUUUUUUUUAAUUUCAGAGAAAAUUUUAUCUUCAUCUCUUUUCUUGUGUUAAUAAAAAUUAUUCUUUGAAAUUAGAAUUUAUUUAAAACUUGUAUUUCCAGUACAGAAUAUCAAUUAUUUUGGGGAAAAAAAAACUGCUUACUUUUUCACUGUGGAAAGGUUUUUAAGUAGAGAAAGGCACAAAUAAGGCAGUGGAACAAUUUAGUUUUCAUGUUCGAAUGCUAAUCACAGUUAAUAUUUAUUAUUAUUAUUAUUUUUUGUCUUUCUUUUUUUGCUAUUUCUUGGGCCGCUCCUGCGGCAUAUGGAGGUUCCCAGGCUAGGGGGCGAAUUGGAGCUGUAGCCACCGGCCUACACCAGAGCCACAGCAACUCGGGAUCCAAGCCGUAUCUGCAACCUACACCGCAGGUGUAGCCCCCAAAAAACAAUAAAUAAAUAAGUAAAUAAAAUUAGGAAAGGGAGGCUUUUCAGAAUGCUAUAUGAUUGUUACCACUUCUCAGUAGGCUGUCAAACUCAGAAGCUAAUUAGUUGUGUAUCUCUAGCCUGUGCUUACCAAGAUUCUACAUAUAUUUAUGAAUCUACCAUAGCUUAGUGAAUAUAUAUAUAUAUAUAUAUAUAUGUAUGGUACCUCAAUCAUAUUUUAUGAAAUCAUACUCAAGGGAUGGUUUUAGAUAAGAUGGCAGUUCAACUUGGGUCAGCACUGAGAGAAUUACGGUAGGAAUUUCACAGUCACUGUUCGUAAAAUGAAUUGGUACAUUGUGGAUGAACUCUGCCUUCUAAAUCCAUUUCUGAAUGAUCACAAAACUGUGUUUAAUCAUUUGACUAUCCCUGAAGUGGACAUCCCAUAGCUGGAGUUCUGUCUCCAGGAGAUAGACAAAUGGAUUGGGCUGAUAGCAGCUGUGCUGGAAGCCAAGUUUUAUACAGUCAGUUUUUAAAGGAGUGCUGUGGACUCUGGCUGCCAUGCGGAUUUUAGAGAAGGGGAGAGUGGUGGGCAGAUUUGCAUGUCCCUGGGAGGCUUCCUGGAGGCAGCUGGACAUAUGCUGUUCCUGAAAGACAGCUCACCUCUCCUCAGGUAGUACUGUCAGUACUUAUGGCAAGAAUUAAAUGGAUGGAGGAUAAUGUGAGAUAAAGAAUGUGUAUAUAUGUAUGACUUGGUCGCUGUACAGCAGAAAUUGGCAGAAUAUUGUAAAUCAACUAUAAUUUAAAAAAGAAAAAGAAACAAAUCAAAGGAAUCAGGGAGAAAAUUUCAUGAAUGGGGACAAGCAGACAUUUCUUUAGUUACGGGUUGUGAAAAUCAUCAUCUCUAAACAGGCUUACCUGGAGUUCCUGUUGUGGCUCUGGUUAACGAACCUGACUAGUGUCCAUGAGGAUGCAGGUUCAAUCCCUGGUCUUGCUCAGUGGAUUAAGGAUCCAGUGUUGCCAUGAGCUGUGGUGUAGGUCACAGAUGAGGCUUGGAUCCCAUGUUGCUGUGGCUGUGUGGCAGCUCCAAUUCGAUCCCAGGCCUGGUUACUUCCAUAUGCUUCAGGUGUGUCCUUAAAAAGACAAAAAAAAAAAAAAAAA
rnacentral:lncRNA from 1 species